UUAAAAUUUAUUAUUCUAACUUAAACCUAAAAAUUUAUUACUACAUUCCGCUGUACAACUAUCUCUACAUUUACUCGGACCUACGGUAAAGUUAAAAGGCUUUAGGAAAACGUAACCUAAAUUUAUUAAUUAAAACAUCAGGACAGGUUUCUACGAAUAAGCACUUUAUUUCGCU